CCCGCCACUAUGCUAGUCUGUGUGAGUGACUUGGUAUAAUCCAGUGGAGGCUGAUAUAGACCCAGCUCUAGGAAGCAGUGCCACCCAAACCAGUGGGUGACUCUGUGCCGAAAGGCCUGGAACAGAC